AGAACGAACGCUGGCGGCAUGCCUAAUACAUGCAAGUCGAACGAACUCUUCGGAGUUAGUGGCGCACGGGUGCGUAACGCGUGGGAAUCUGCCCUUGGGUUCGGAAUAACAGUUGGAAACGACUGCUAAUACCGGAUGAUGACGAAAGUCCAAAGAUUUAUCGCCCAGGGAUGAGCCCGCGUAGGAUUAGCUAGUUGGUGAGGUAAAGGCUCACCAAGGCGACGAUCCUUAGCUGGUCUGAGAGGAUGAUCAGCCACACUGGGACUGAGACACGGCCCAGACUCCUACGGGAGGCAGCAGUAGGGAAUAUGGACAAUGGGCGAAAGCCUGAUCCAGCAAUGCCGCGUGAGUGAUGAAGCCUUAGGGUUGUAAAGCUCUUUACCCGAGAUGAUAAUGAACAGUAUCGGAAGAAUAAGCCCCGGACUAACUCCGACGCCAAGCAGCCGAC
rnacentral:rRNA from 1 species